rnacentral:rRNA from 1 species
UACGUAGGGAGCAAGCGUUGUCCGGAAUCAUUGGGCGUAAAGCGCGCGUAGGCGGCCCCGUAAGUCCGCUGUGAAAGUCAAAGGCUCAACCUUUGAAAGCCGGUGGAUACUGUGGGGCUAGAGUCCGGAAGAGGCGAGUGGAAUUCCUGGUGUAGCGGUGAAAUGCGUAGAUAUCUGGAAGAACACCGGUGGCGCAAGCGGAUUGCUGGGCCAUAACUGACACUGAGGAACGAAAGCCUAGGGGAGCGAAUGGG